rnacentral:misc_RNA from 1 species
CAGAUUCUAAAGUGAUACUACAACACAUCAAUUCCAGGACUGACUUAAAUUCCAAGGAGCAGCUUGUUCAGUCUCAGAUUAGUUUGUAUGCUCAGGCUUGUGAUAACCUAAAAUCUAAAUUCUCCAACUUAAUUAUACUAGUCUUCGAUACACAUAAUGUCAUUUUGGCAUAACACUGUACACUCACCAAAAAGGAAUGGGAGUUGCUCAUUUACUUACAAGGAAAUCACCACAAUAUUUCACAACCCUUUUCAAAAUUUUCUUGACAGAUUAGGUCUAUAACAUCACAUAGCUAUCCAAAAAGGAACAGAAG